AUACGGAGGGGGCUAGCGUUGUUCGGAAUUACUGGGCGUAAAGCGCGCGUAGGCGGAUCGUUAAGUCAGGGGUGAAAGCCCGGAGCUCAACUCCGGAACUGCCCUUGAUACUGGCGAUCUCGAGUCCGGGAGAGGUGAGCGGAAUUCCUAGUGUAGAGGUGAAAUUCGUAGAUAUUAGGCGGAACACCAGUGGCGAAGGCGGCUCACUGGCCCGGUACUGACGCUGAGGUGCGAAAGCGUAGGGAGCACACAGGAUUAGAUACCCUAGUAGUCC
rnacentral:rRNA from 1 species